GUAGUCAGCUGUUAAUUUUCUUUUUAUUAAAAAAAUAUAUAUAAUCUGUGCUCUUGGUAAAAAUUCAAAUCGUUAUGGAAUUGUGCAAAGUAAAAGCUGCCAGUUCUUCACUCCCCGCCCACAGUCCCCUUCUGUUUCAGAGGUAACCUCUGCCGGGGAGACUGGUUUUUAGUGGAAAGUUUUGGGAACCUGACAGGUCUGACCGGUUUCUCCCCCCACUUGAGCUGGGGCCACCACGGGCAGCUCUCAGUGACCUGUGGCUGAGAUCUUAUGUGUCCUUCAGCCCCAGGUCCCUCUCAGAGCUGUCUGUGCCCCUUCCUCUAUGCCCGGGUGGCCAGCACCAGUCAGGUCGGCUCCACAGCAGCAGAGUCUGACUGUUGCCAGUGACUUCACCUCUCUGACCUGCAGUCUCUUCAUCAGUCUCUUACUUGUUACUCUUCAUCCUUGCUGCCAGGGUGGUCAUGAGGGCUGACUGAGGAACAGGCUGUGCACACGCAGCUCAGGACCUUGUGAGAGCAUCAGGCCUGCCAACAACCCCAUGGUACAACAAGAAAAUGGCUGUGCUGGAGCCCUGGACGCCGGAAAUCUGAGAUGAAGGUGCCGGCAGGGCCCUGCCCGCUCUGAAGUCUCUGGGGGAAGCUUCUUUGCCUCUUCCAGCUUCUGGUGGCUCCACGCACUGCUGGGCUCGUGGCUGCCUCCCUCUGGUCUCUGCCCCGGUCUGCACGUGGCCUUCCCUGCGUGUUUCUGUGUCCUUGCUGCUGCUUAGAAGCACAGCAGCCAUUGGAUUAGGACCCACUCUCAUCCAGCAUGGCCUCAUCUUAACUCAUUACGUCUACAAAAUCUCCAUUUCCAAAUAAGGUCCCAUUCUGGGGUCCUGAGUGGACACGGCGGGGACACCAUCAACCCAUCCUAAGGCCUUCUUGGGCAGCCUCAGGGGGAAGCCGGACCAGCCUUAAGUGAAAGUGGAGGGUUCCAAGGAUCCUACAAAGGGGCCCUGACCCAGUCGGUGGGCAGCAGGGGACAGAGUGGACGUGGAACUUGUAGACAGACAGAACGAUGCACAGGACUCACCCCCACCACCAGAGGUCUGUGUGCAGAGACGACAGAGGGCAGCGUCCCUCCCACUGCCCAUCACCCAUGGAGUGUGGAAAAUCCCGGUCAAGACAGCAGCCCGGGCCGUGAAAUCGAAUCUGGGGGUCCCAAGCAUCGGCGUUUGUGCAGCUCUCGGUGGUUCCAAAGUCAGCCAAGAUCUCGGUUCUGGGCCGCCAGGGGCUCUGGAGUCAGACACCUCGUGUCUAAGUCUCCACCAGUUACUGACCGAGCGACCUCAGCAGUACGUUCACCGCUCCGGGUGUCCCUGUCCCCUGUGGAUGGCAUCAUUGCCUCCCUUAUGGAGAUGAGAAGAAUCAAACGGGAACGUUGGCUCCGUGCCUGUCACGAGGGAAGUGCUUGAUAGACGGUGCCCUUCUGCGCCACGUAGAGAGAAAACCGAGGGAGCCUCAUUUAAACUGCAGGCCUGGGAAGGCCUGUGGACUUUCAGGGAAGCUGAGAAGGGGCCCUGGCACCGGUCUGCAUGCCAGCUGGGCAGGGCAGGGUGAGCCUGGUGCAUAUACCUGGGGCCACACAGCAGGGCCUCAUGCUUCUUUUUUGGACCCACUUGACGGAUGGGGAGACUGAGUUCAGAGAGGCCAAGUGGCUUGCCAGGGUCACGCAGCUGAUACACAGCAAAUGGAUUUUAAACCCACCUGACCGCAAUUCCAAGCAUUGUUUUCUUGGGUCAAACCUUGGGAGCUCAAAGGGUGAUCCUGACCUGUGAUGGCUCCAUUUUAUGCAGAAUAUUUUGUUUUGUUUUUUAAUUUGCCUGUUUACUCUAAUGUUCCCAGUCGUUUUCCUCCCAGGGAUCCUCACUCACAAGUGGACUCUGACGGCCUCGGGGGCUCAGAUUUCACAAUCGGCUAAGGCUAACAUAAGGCCUUCCAGGUUACAAGGCUGAAAGUUAUUUUCCAUCAUUCAUUUGUUCACUUUACAUAACAUGCACCUAUUGAGCACCUGCUGUAUACUGGGAACCAAGUUAAACACCAGGUUUGCAGAGGUGGACAAGGCCCUGUUCCUGCCUCCAGGGUCUCCAACCCAUCAGGAGACGCAGGCCCUUUGACAGACACUGGUGAUAAAAUGACAGUGGAGGUCUGUUCAAGAUACAGAAAUGGGAUUUUGCCCUGUUAACCAGACUGGUCUUGAACUCCUGACCUCAAGUGAUCCUCCCGCCUCAACCUCCCAAAGUGCUGGGAUUACAGGCCUGAACCACUGUGCCUGGCCCGAAUUGGUCUCUUUCUGAGAGCUGGGACUUCUCCUCUGCUGCCUUGGACAUUAGAAAUUUGACUCCAUGGAGCUGCAUUACCAUAUGCUGACUGUGUGUUUCUGGAGGCUGGGAUAUCCAAACUCAUGGUGCCGGCAGAUUCGUGUCUGGUGAGGACUGUUUUCUCUGCUUCAAGAUGGAGCCCUGUUGCUGCAUCUUUUCUAGGAAGAUGAACACUGUCCUCCUAUGGUGGAACAGAAGGGAAAAAGGCAUGAACGGCUCCCUUGUGCCUCUCAUAUAAGGUCACUAAUCCCAUUCUCAAGGGCUCCACCCUCAUGACCUAAUCACCUCCCAAAGGCCCCACCUGUUAAUGCUAUGGCAUUGCUGGUUAUGUUGCAACAUAAGAAUUUGGGCGGACACAUUCAGACCAUAGCAGGCACCAUUAGUAAGCCCAUCUUAUGGAUCAGGAAACCAGAACACAGGGAGGUUCGGCAAUUUGUCCGAGGUCACACAGCCAGGAUUGGGUGUGGGUCCCAGCUCUUCUGGCAGUGCUGGUUUUGGGCACUUUAUUUCAUCUCUUUCUGCUUGUCUUCUCAACUCUUACAUGCGAAGACCACGGUACAGCUCUUAUUACUGUAGUUGUCCCGGGGAGACCCGUGUGUCCGUGGCAUCCACGUGGCAGAUGCUGUGCCCAGGCCGUGGACUCUGGAUAGGCUCAGGCCUAUGACUUUACCUGCCACUCUCUCUUCCAGCGGUCCCAGUGCCCCUAGUCCCCAAGGGCAGUCAGCUCCUUUUUUUUUUUUUGAGACAGGGUCUUACUCUGUCACCCACGCUGAAGUGCAGUGAUGUGAUCAAGGUUCACCGCAGCCUUGACCUCCCCAAGCUCAGGUGAUCCUCCCACCUUAGCCUCCCAAGUAGCUAGGACUACAGGUGCAUGCUACCAUGCCCAGCAAAGUUUUAUACAUGUAUAUAUUUUUCCAGAGACAGGGUCUCGCUAUGCUGGUCUUGAACUCUGGGACUCAAGUGAUCUGCACACCUCAGCCUCCCAAAGUGCUGAGAUUACAGACAUGAAACACUGCGACCGGGCGACUUCCCUUAUAAUCACAUUCCUGAUUACACUUAGGGCCCAUCCAGAUACUCCAGGGUAAUCUCUCCAUCUCAGGGUCCCUAACUUAAUCCCAUCUGCAAAGACUUUUGCCUUCUAAGGUAACCUCCACAGGUUUCAGGGAUGCGGACCUGGGUAUCUCUGGGGGCCAUGAUAUCUAGUAUGAUUAUUUAUUGUUAUUGAUUAUUCAGCUUACUGCAGUGUACACAUGGCCACGGGACCACCACUCUUUGGUCUAUGGCUGUCAUCUGUGAAGAGCUACAGCACUUUUUCCACUGAGCCUGAAUAUGCAGCCUCAGAAGCCUUGUUGUCAUUGUUGCUGUUUGAGACGGGGUCUCACUAUGUUGCCCAGGCUACUCGCCAACUCCUGGGCUCAAGUAAUCCUCCCGCCUCAACCACCCACCCCCGCCUGAGUAGCUGGGACUACAGGUAUGCACCACCAUACCUGGCUAAAUUUUUAAAAUUAUUUUGCAGAGACAGUCCCACUAUGCUGCCUGGGCUGGUCUCAAACACCUGGCCUCAAGCAAUCCUCCUGCCUCAGCCCCACAAAGUACUGGAAUUACAAGCAUGAGCCACCUUGCCUGGCCAGAAUGUUUCUUAAUUUCCAAGUUGUUAGGCUGUUGGUCAUCUUUUUUUUUUUUUAAUUCCUCAUGUUAUUAGACUAUGAUCAGAGAAGUGUUCUAUAAAAUCUCUGCUUUUUAAAAUCUGGCCAAGUUUUUGUUUUGGUCGAGUAUAUAAGACAUGUUUGCAGCUAAUCGAUGGAUGUAAGAACAAUUCCCCACUAAACAGCGACAUGAUUCUAUCAGUCAAUUCCUUCAUUUCCUUCUUGUCUUUUUUGUCUGUUUAAUUCUGCAGAUGUAUUAAAAUGCCUUCUGUAAUCUCUCCGGUUUUCUUGCCUUGAUGAUGGGAAUCAGUUUCCACCCCUAGGGUCUGGCAAGGAGGCCAACCCGACCCAGUGCCUUCUCCGCUACUGAAACCUGUGACACAAAGGAACCUAGGACUUCCACACGCUGGACCCCCAGCCUAUGUGCCAGAGCAGGAAGUCAGGAGCUGGAUGGAGGUCUCCUCAGAAGGGAGUCAGGCCACAUUGUUCCAUAAUGCUCUGCUGUAAUCAGCCCUUCUGUGUUUGAGAGCUUUCAAAAAGAGCUGACUGGCCAGGUGCAGUGGUCAGGAGUUCC
rnacentral:lncRNA from 10 species